CGGAAACUACACACAAGUUUCCGUUAUUCCUAGAUGUGUGUGUGUGUGUGUGUGUGUGUGUGUGUGCAGCUUUUGAGUUUCAAUGUUACUUUGCUAGGAACUCAAUAAUGAAAUGACUUUUUGAGGAUGGAUGAUUCUUUUAAGAGUAGGUUUGAACAAAGAGAAAAAUCACUCCUUGUUUUGGUGUCACUCGCAUAUUUGGCCACUGGGUGCCACAAUGGAUCUUCCUAGAGUCCUGGGUUCGGUCCUGCAGCACAUGACUAAUCCAUACCCACUCACCCCUAACACAUACCAGCAGGAGGCCUAGUAAGGCCUUGCUACUCACCAUCCCCACAGACCUACUGCACUGACUUCAAGGUCGGCGUGCAUAGCUUCAAGAAAGACUUCUUAUAAAACCUACUGUGUAAUAACCAUGGGUUAUGAGCACUUGGAGAAAGUUGGGAGCAUUGCUCACCAGUAAGUUUUCCAUAAAUGUCUGGGUUUUUUUUGGGGGGGGGGGUGUAUUAUAUUCUCAACUAUUCCCUGCUUCCUCUCGCCCUAACCUCCUAGGCACGCACUAAGGAAAGAACAAGAAGGUAUCUAUCCACAGCCAGCAAGAGUAUCCUGACCAGAGGGUGAUUAAGCUAGGCCUGAUCUGUGGCUUCUCCCCUACAGAACUGUAAGGAGGUACAGUGCUCUUUUCUGAGCCACGUGCUAUCUGUCAUAGCAGCUCAUGCUGCCCGAUAGAAUGUGCAAGCAUGGAAGGGGCGUGCCGGGCAGGCUUGGCCUAUGUCGGCCCUGUCCUGUGAAGCCCAGGACAGCCCAGCAGCAGCUGCCGCUCCAUGGCUGAUCUUUGACUACAGAGGGUGGCUGGCCUGACACAUGUGGUCAUCGUCAUCCUCUGCUCUGUCAGCAGCCCUGUAACCUCUGGCACACAGAGGCGGACUAUCCUCUAACUUGGCCACCAUUCGUGGUAAUGGUGCUAUUCUGGUCGCUCUGACUUGCUCUUUGCUUCGUUUUUGUCCUUCCCUAUUUUAUGACGGUAGGGAUAUCAGGAAGGAGACUCUCUGUGGAGCCUGUGCAACAAUAGCGAGCGUGCAGCGAAGGCAGCAUCCGGAGUGCAGCACAUUCGAUACCCUUGACACCGAAAGAAGCCUUGAUAUGAGGUCUGUGCCUAGUCUGACUGCAACUCGAUAUGCCAUGUUCAACUGAUAUCCCUGGAAGGCCUGCCCUUUUCUGAAGAGACACGGAGACGUGGAUGGCUUGGAUUAAAGGUGUGCACCACCACACCUAGAAGAUAUCUCUUUGGAAAAAAGAAGAGAAAAAAGAAGUUGGGAAGUCCUGGACAUGGUACUCGUGCCUUUAAUCCCAGCAGUGGCAGACACAGGAGGAGCUCUGAGUUCAAAAGAACUAAAAAGUGAGUUACAGGCCUGCACCCAAGACUACACAGUGGGGGUUGGGGAUUUAGCUCAGUGGUAGAGCGCUUGCCUAGUGAG
rnacentral:sRNA from 1 species